rnacentral:rRNA from 1 species
GUGGGGAAUUUUGCACAAUGGGCGCAAGCCUGAUGCAGCGACGCCGCGUGAGGGAUGGAGGCCUUCGGGUUGUAAAGCACUUUUGGCAGGGAAGAAACAGUGCGUGCUAAUACCAUGCGCGAAUGACGGUACCUGCAGAAUAAGCACCGGCUAACUACGUGCCAGCAGCCGCGGUAAUACGUAGGGUGCAAGCGUUAAUCGGAAUUACUGGGCGUAAAGCGUGCGCAGGCGGCUUUGUAAGACGGAUGUGAAAGCCCCGGGCUCAACCUGGGAAGUGCAUUCAUGACUGCAAGGCUAGAGUGUGUCAGAGGGAGGUGGAGUUCCGCGUGUAGCAGUGAAAUGCGUAGAGAUGCGGAGGAACACCGAUGGCGAAGGCAGCCUCCUGGGAUAACACUGACGCUCAGGCACGAAAGCGUGGGGAGCAAACAGGAUUAGAUACCCGAGUAGUCC